GAUUGUCAGGCCUAACACAUGCAAGUCGAGCGGGGAAAGGUAGCUUGCUACAUUUCCUAGCGGCGGACGGGUGAGUAAUGCUUAGGAAUCUGCCUAUUAGUGGGGGACAACAUUCCGAAAGGAAUGCUAAUACCGCAUACGCCCUACGGGGGAAAGCAGGGGAUCUUCGGACCUUGCGCUAAUAGAUGAGCCUAAGUCAGAUUAGCUAGUUGGUGGGGUAAAGGCCUACCAAGGCGACGAUCUGUAGCGGGUCUGAGAGGAUGAUCCGCCACACUGGGACUGAGACACGGCCCAGACUCCUACGGGAGGCAGCAGUGGGGAAUAUUGGACAAUGGGCGAAAGCCUGAUCCAGCCAUGCCGCGUGUGUGAAGAAGGCCUUUUGGUUGUAAAGCACUUUAAGCGAGGAGGAGGCUACCGAGAUUAAUACUCUAGGAUAGUGGACGUUACUCGCAGAAUAAGCACCGGCUAACUCUGUGCCAGCAGCCGCGGUAAUACAGAGGGUGCGAGCGUUAAUCGGAUUUACUGGGCGUAAAGCGUGCGUAGGCGGCUUCUUAAGUCGGAUGUGAAAUCCCUGAGCUUAACUUAGGAAUUGCAUUCGAUACUGGGAAGCUAGAGUAUGGGAGAGGAUGGUAGAAUUCCAGGUGUAGCGGUGAGAUGCGUAGAGAUCUGGAGGAAUACCGAUGGCGAAGGCAGCCAUCUGGCCUAAUACUGACGCUGAGGUACGAAAGCAUGGGGAGCAAACAGGAUUAGAUACCCUGGUAGUCCAUGCCGUAAACGAUGUCUACUAGCCGUUGGGGCCUUUGAGGCUUUAGUGGCGCAGCUAACGCGAUAAGUAGACCGCCUGGGGAGUACGGUCGCAAGACUA
rnacentral:rRNA from 1 species